GAUUAAGCCAUGCAUGUCUAAGUAUAAGCAAUUAUACAGCGAAACUGCGAAUGGCUCAUUAUAUAAGUUAUCGUUUAUUUGAUAGUGCCUUACUACUUGGAUAACCGUGGUAAUUCUAGAGCUAAUACAUGCUAAAAAUCCCGACUUCGGAAGGGAUGUAUUUAUUAGAUUAAAAACCAAUGCCCUCUGGGCUUUUUGGUGAUUCAUGAUAACUUCACGAAUCGCACGGCCUUGCGCCGGCGAUGGCUCAUUCAAAUUUCUUCCCUAUCAACUUUCGAUGUUUGGGUAGUGGCCAAACAUGGUUGCAACGGGUAACGGAGGGUUAGGGCUCGACCCCGGAGAAGGAGCCUGAGAAACGGCUACUACAUCCAAGGAAGGCAGCAGGCGCGCAAAUUACCCAAUCCCGAUUCGGGGAGGUAGUGACAAUAAAUACUGAUACAGGGCUCUUUCGGGUCUUGUAAUCGGAAUGAGUACAAUUUAAAUCCCUUAACGAGGAACAAUUGGAGGGCAAGUCUGGUGCCAGCAGCCGCGGUAAUUCCAGCUCCAAUAGCGUAUAUUAAAGUUGUUGUGGUUAAAAAGCUCGUAGUUGAACCUUGGGCCUGGCUGGCCGGUCCGCCUCACCGCGAGUACUGGUCCGGCCGGGUCUUUCCCUCUGUGGAACCCCAUGCCCUUCACUGGGUGUGGCGGGGAAACAGGACUUUUACUUUGAAAAAAUUAGAGUGCUCCAGGCAGGCCUAUGCUCGAAUAUAUUAGCAUGGAAUAAUAGAAUAGGACGUGUGGUUCUAUUUUGUUGGUUUCUAGGACCGCCGUAAUGAUUAAUAGGGACAGUCGGGGGCAUCAGUAUUCAAUUGUCAGAGGUGAAAUUCUUGGAUUUAUUGAAGACUAACUACUGCGAAAGCAUUUGCCAAGGAUGUUUUCAUUAAUCAGGAACGAAAGUUAGGGGAUCGAAAACGAUCAGAUACCGUUGUAGUCUUAACCAUAAACUAUGCCGACUCGGGAUCGGACGAUGUUAUUUUUUGACUCGUUCGGCACCGUACGAUAAAUCAAAGUGCUUGGGCUCCAGGGGGAGUAUGGUCGCAAGGCUGA
rnacentral:rRNA from 1 species